rnacentral:ncRNA from 1 species
GACGGUUCCCGAGAGGGAUCAAAAGGGAACGCGGUGAAGGGCCUUUGCCCGAUCCCGCGGCUGCCCCCGCAACUGUGAGCGGAGAGUCCUUCAUCACCACGUCACUGGGCGAGCCUUCGCCUGGGAAGACGAUGGAGGACAACGACCCGCGAGCCAGGAGACCUGCCGUCAGCCG